GUGUCAGCAGCCGCGGUAAUACGGAGGAUCCAAGCGUUAUCCGGAAUCAUUGGGUUUAAAGGGUCCGUAGGCGGUUUUAUAAGUCAGUGGUGAAAUCUGGUCGCUCAACGAUCAAACGGCCAUUGAUACUGUAGAACUUGAAUUACUUGGAAGUAACUAGAAUAUGUAGUGUAGCGGUGAAAUGCUUAGAGAUUACAUGGAAUACCAAUUGCGAAGGCAGGUUACUACAAGUACAUUGACGCUGAUGGACGAAAGCGUGGGGAGCGAACAGGAUUAGAUACCCUGGUAGUCC
rnacentral:rRNA from 1 species